GAUGAACGCUGGCGGCGUGCCUAAUACAUGCAAGUCGAGCGAACAGACGAGGAGCUUGCUCCUCUGACGUUAGCGGCGGACGGGUGAGUAACACGUGGAUAACCUACCUAUAAGACUGGGAUAAAUUCGGGAAACCGGAGCUAAUACCGGAUAAUAUAUUGAACCGCAUGGUUCAAAAGUGAAAGACGGUUUUGCUGUCACUUAUAGAUGGAUCCGCGCCGCAUUAGCUAGUUGGUAAGGUAACGGCUUACCAAGGCAACGAUGCGUAGCCGACCUGAGAGGGUGAUCGGCCACACUGGAACUGAGACACGGUCCAGACUCCUACGGGAGGCAGCAGUAGGGAAUCUUCCGCAAUGGGCGAAAGCCUGACGGAGCAACGCCGCGUGAGUGAUGAAGGUCUUCGGAUCGUAAAACUCUGUUAUUAGGGAAGAACAAAUGUGUAAGUAACUAUGCACGUCUUGACGGUACCUAAUCAGAAGGCCACGGCUAACUACGUG
rnacentral:rRNA from 1 species